GUGACCUGCGGAGGAUCAUUAAAGAGACGUUGCCCUUCGGGGUAUACCUCCCACCCUUUGUUUAUUUAUACCUUUGUUGCUUUGGCAGACCCGGCUUCGGCCCACCGGCUCCGGCUGGUCAGUGUCUGCCAGAGGACCUAAAACUCUGUUUGUUAAUAUUGUCUGAGUACUAUAUAAUAGUUAAAACUUUCAACAACGGAUCUCUUGGUUCUGGCAUCGAUGAAGAGCGCAGCGAAAUGCGAUAAGUAAUGUGAAUUGCAGAAUUCAGUGAAUCAUCGAAUCUUUGAACGCACAUUGCGCCCUCUGGUAUUCCGGGGGGCAUGCCUGUUCGAGCGUCAUUACAACCCUCAAGCUUUGCUUGGUAUUGGACAUUGCCAGUUUCUGGCAGGUCUUAAAAUCAGUGGCGGUGCCAUUUGGCUUCAAGCGUAGUAAUUCUUCUCGCUUUGGAGAUCCAAGUGGUUACUUGCCAAUAACCCCCAAUUUUUUCAGGUUGACCUCGGAUCAGGUAGGGAUACCCGCUGAACUUAAGCAUAUCAAUAAGCGGAGGA
rnacentral:rRNA from 1 species